rnacentral:rRNA from 1 species
UACGAAGGGGGCUAGCGUUGCUCGGAAUCACUGGGCGUAAAGCGCACGUAGGCGGACUCUUAAGUCGGUGGUGAAAUCCUGGAGCUCAACUCCAGAACUGCCUUCGAUACUGAGAGUCUUGAGUCCGGGAGAGGGAUGUGGAAUUCCAGGUGUAGCGGUGAAAUGCGUAGAUAUCUGGAGGAACACCGGUGGCGAAGGCGGCAUCCUGGACCGGUAUUGACGCUGAGGAGCGAAAGCCAGGGGAGCAAACGGG